ACCACCAACAUUCAUACAUGUGUUCUCCAAACACUAAAAAAAUCCAAAGCUCAUUGUUCAUACUUAUAUUGAAAUUAUAAUUAGUUGAUCGAUUAUAUUGAGGGAAUUAAUUAAGCAUGGCAAUUAGUAAACCAUUUCUUGUUGUGUUUCUCAUACAAACCCUAUACACUGGUAUGUUCUUGCUCUCUAAGGCAGCGUUCAACGUCGGCAUGAACAAUUUCAUCUUCACCUUCUAUAGACAGGCAAUCGCCACCAUCUUUUUAGCCCCCGUAGCCAUCUUUCUCGAGAGGAAAAAUAUACCCCCGCUCUCAUUCAAGACAUUUUGGCAAAUAUUCGCGAUGUCUUUUUUCGGGAUAACCUUGAGUUUGGAUUUGUAUGGCAUCGGCUUGACAUAUACCUCAGCAACCCUUGGUGCUGCUACGACCAAUUGUCUUCCUGUAAUUACUUUCUUCCUUGCUGUUCUUGUGAGAUUAGAGGUAUGGAAAAUAAAGACUGCCCCUGGGAUAGCAAAACUAAUAGGCAUAGUGAUAUGCUUGGGAGGUGCCAUGACUCUUGCACUUUACAAGGGUCCUUCCAUCAAACUGUUUAGCCAUCUUCACUUGCUGGUUCGUCACCCAGCAGCCCAACAACCUCAGACUCAAACCCAUUCCGGACCCACUUGGAUUAAGGGUGUCUUUAUCUUGCUCACUGGUAACACUUUUUGGGCUCUCUGGCUUGUUAUGCAGGCAAAGAUAAUGAAGGGAUACCCAUCAAAGCUUUUGUUCACAGCACUAAGUUGCUUGUUGAGUUCAAUUCAGUCAUUUGUCCUAGCUAUUAUCGUGGAACGACGUCCUUCUCAGUGGAUCCUUGGUUGGAAUAUCCGUCUUCUAGCCGUUGCUUACUGUGGAAUAGUAGUGACAGGAUUGGCUUACUAUUUACAAGCAUAUGUGAUUGAGAAGAAGGGACCUCUCUUCCUAGCAUUGUGGACUCCUUUGGGGCUUAUGCUUACCAUGUUUUGUUCUAUACUUCUCUUAGGAGAGAUCAUCACUUUGGGCAGUGUUUUAGGUGGAAUUUUGCUAGUUGGAGGACUUUACAGUUUUUUGUGGGCAAAGAGCAAAGAGCAAAUGAUAAUUCCAUCAAGCUGUUCACCCAUUGUUGAAGCAGAUAAAGGAUUCGUUGAGUUUAAAAUAAAGGAAGGAACCAAGAACUCACCCUCCAUUGUUUAAGUAUCCAAUUAUGUGAAGAUAUUUCAAAACAAAGCUUACAAAGUUACAAGGAAUCAUAUGGAAUUUGAUCGGUCAUCAAAAUUGAAGAAAAAAAGGAAAAGUCAAGUAUCAACUAUCAAGAGUAAAGUGUAACUGAAGACUAAACUUUCUAAGGUCCAAAAUGGAUGGAAGUAAAAUUACAUAAAUAUACUGGGUCGAUAGAAAGCCCAACAAAGCUAAAGGCCCUCCAUAGUCCAUAUAGUGACAUCAUAGUUUAACCAACCCAAGUCCAACAUACGAGUACCAUUUUUGAGAUUUGAGGGUACUCGUAUGUUUUAAUUAAAUACGAGGGGAAUAUUACCUUCGUUUCUUAAAUUUUUUACGCUUUCUAUUUUAAUAGGUUUUUUAAAGUUCUUUACACUUUAUUUCAUUCCAGUUUUGUCUUGUAAAUUAAACAUUUUCUAGAUUUUAUCUCGUGCACGCACAUAUAUUUUAAAAUUAUUAUUUAAA